CCAGUGAGAAAACUAGAUGUGACCAUCCAGAAAAAGCAUAGACAAAAAAAUGCAGUCUUAGUACUGGGAUGUUUGAGAUGGGGUCUAUCUACAUGUCUCUAGCUGUCCCUAUCAGGACAGCAUCUGGUGUGGCCUGCAGAGUUGAUUCCUGUACUUUUUUUUUUUGUGGGCUGUAUGUAAAUGGAUUGUUUUGACAAUCCAUUCGACAGUGUUCUCUUCUGUGAAGGUCAUAGGUGAGCUGAUGACAGACACAGCUGUACAGACUGAAUGCAAUCCUGACUAUAAAGCUGCAGUUCAUCAUUAUGAGCUAUUUCCUUAUUCUGGCAGUGAUUGAAAUAAAAUGGGGAGUAUUGAAAUAAAAAACAUUCAAUU
ensembl:processed_transcript Snhg5 small nucleolar RNA host gene 5